GUAGUACAGUGGUAGGAUGCUCACUUGCUACUUGAGUGACCCGGGUUCUAUUCCCGGC
rnacentral:tRNA from 1 species